rnacentral:rRNA from 1 species
AAUCCUGACACAGGGAGGUAGUGACAAGAAAUAACAAUACAGGGCUACUUCUAGUCUUGUAAUUGGAAUGAGUACAACUUACAUCUCUUCACGAGGAUCAAUUGGAGGGCAAGUCUGGUGCCAGCAGCCGCGGUAAUUCCAGCUCCAAUAGCGUAUAUUAAAGUUGUUGCAGUUAAAAAGCUCGUAGUCGGAUUUCGGGGCGGGCGUAGCGGUCUGCCGUUGGGUAUGCACUGUUUCGCGCGUCCUUCUUUCCGGAGACCGCGCCUACUCUUAGCUGAGCGGGCGCGGGAGACGGAUCGUUUACUUUGAAAAAAUCAGAGUGUUUCAAGCAGGCAGCUCGCUCUUGCAUGGAUUAGCAUGAGAUAAUGAAAUAGGACUCUGGUGCUAUUUUGUUGGUUUCGAACACCGGAGUAAUGAUUAACAGGGACAGUCAGGGGCACUCGUAUUCCGUCCAGAGAGGUGAAAUUCUCAGACCAAUGGAAGACGAACCACUGCGAAAGCAUUUGCCAGGGAUGUUUUCACUGAUCAAGAACGAAAGUUAGGGGAUCGAAGACAUCAGAUACCGUCGUAGUCUUAACCAUAAACCAUGCCGACCAGGGAUUGGAAGGUGUUCUAUUCGACCCUUCAGCACCUUACGGGAAACUAAAGUCUUUGGGUUCCGGGGGGAGUAUGGUCGCAAGGCUGAAACUUAAAGGAAUUGACGGAAGG